ACGUUGUUUGUGUAUGUGUGUUUGUACGUAUGUUUGUGUGUGUUUGUGUGUGUGUGCACGUGCAUUGUUGCUUCUGUUCACAUGCAUAAAUUGUGAACUCUGUGUUUCUUAUAGUUAAAUGUAACUAUAAACGGAUAAAAAGUCACUGUAUCAUCACCACUGAUGGAGAGUUUGUUGGUUUUGCACGUUUGUGUUUCAGAUUAUUUAUAAUACACCGAUUAUGAGUUUAAGGACAAACGGAUAUGUAAUGAACACACUGAGCCACUAGAGGGCGGUGCAGCUUACAGCAUGAGCUCCUUCAUUCUGAGGGAAGUUGGCAGGAUUCCACCGUUCCCUGGAUAUCCUUGUUGAGGGAUGUAACAACACCAGAGAAGGAGAGUAAGGUCAGAGUGUGCAUCAGGACCACCUCAGCUGCCUGACUCACCUCACAACACCUCAGGACCAGAAUCAGAUGUGUUCCUGCAUCAGAAGGAUGAUAAGAUCCACAUCUUGUACAGAGAUGACAGAAGGCUUGAGAGAGGAGUGAAGGAGGAGUGAUGUUCCAUCUGUGGAAAAUUCUUCUUUUAACAGACGUGGAGGUCUUAGGCACAACCUGUGUCCUAUUUGUCAUGGUGCUCUUUCAUCCACCCCUCUCCACCCCUCUCCACUCUGAUCAUUACCCCUUCACUACUCUCUCUCUUUACUCUCCAUCUCUGGGAUUGUUACAUCCUUCAGCUGUACUGUCAUCUUCCCCUCUGUCCAUUAAUGAGGAUAUCCAGCGAAUGGAGGAUCUUUGACCCUGGAGAAGACUUCCCUCAGACUGAAGCUGCUCAGGUGAUAAGUGAAACGUUUGCAUCGCUCACUCAGCAUCGUAGUGGAGAGAGAGAGACAGAGAGAGAGAGAGAGAGAGAAUGAGAAAAUGAAAGGCCAGGUGAUGUGAUCCAACUUCCAGAACAACCUCCAAGACCCCAACAGUCUGGCGUUAAAGCAGCUCAU